GACGAACGCUGGCGGCGUGCUUAACACAUGCAAGUCGAACGGAAAGGCCUCUUUCGGGGGGUACUCGGGUGGCGAACGGGUGAGUAACACGUGAGUAACCUGCCCUUGACUUUGGGAUAACUUCAGGAAACUGGGGCUAAUACCGGAUAGGAGCUCCUGCUGCAUGGUGGGGGUUGGAAAGUUUCGGCGGUUGGGGAUGGACUCGCGGCUUAUCAGCUUGUUGGUGGGGUAGUGGCUUACCAAGGCUUUGACGGGUAGCCGGCCUGAGAGGGUGACCGGCCACAUUGGGACUGAGAUACGGCCCAGACUCCUACGGGAGGCAGCAGUGGGGAAUAUUGCACAAUGGGUGGAAGCCUGAUGCAGCAACGCCGUGUGCGGGAUGACGGACUUCGGGUUGUAAACCGCUUUCGCUCAUGACGAAGCUUUGUGUGACGGUAGUGGGUAAAGAAGCACCGGCUAACUACGUG
rnacentral:rRNA from 1 species